GUGCUGAAAGCAUCUAAGCACGAAACUUGCCCCGAGAUGAGUUCUCCCUGAGACUAUAAGUCUCCUGAAGGAACGUUAAAGACGAUGACGUUGAUAGGCCGGGUGUGUAAGCGCAGCGAUGCGUUGAGCUAACCGGUACUAAUGAACCGUGAGGCUUAACCUU
rnacentral:rRNA from 1 species